rnacentral:rRNA from 1 species
AACGAACGCUGGCGGCAUGCCUAACACAUGCAAGUCGAACGAGACCUUCGGGUCUAGUGGCGCACGGGUGCGUAACGCGUGGGAACCUGCCUUUAGGUUCGGAAUAACUCAGAGAAAUUUGAGCUAAUACCGGAUGAUGUCUUCGGACCAAAGAUUUAUCGCCUUUAGAUGGGCCCGCGUUGGAUUAGCUAGUUGGUGGGGUAAAGGCCUACCAAGGCGACGAUCCAUAGCUGGUCUGAGAGGAUGAUCAGCCACACUGGGACUGAGACACGGCCCAGACUCCGCCGGGAGGCAGCGGGGGGGAUUAUUGGACAAGGGGCGAAGGCUUGACCCAGCAAUCCCGCGUGGGUAAUGAGGCCUUUGGGGUUGAAAACCUUUUUUCCCGGAGAUGAAAAUCACAGUACGGGGAAAAUAGCCCCCGCCUACCCCCGCC